GCCAGGCCAAAGGCUCUGCUCGGGAAGCUUGGAAGUGAUACUAAAGACAAAUUUGCAUUUUUUUUUCUUUCACAGGAACUCGGCUACUCUCCGCGCCACUGAGCCGCUGAGAUGUUUUCACUGGGUUCUGUGCAGCCAGCAGGCUGAACAAGCCCCAGUCACCAAGCCUUUGGAAGGCGACCUUCGCUUUUGUUCUUCAUUUUCCUUUAAGAGUCAGCCAGCCAAAUUCGUGUUCUUUGGCUCGGUGCUGGAAACCCUGGCAGGCUCACACUUUUCUGCAACUCUUAGGGAACAGCCUGGCCAAUGGUCACUUUAAAUGGAAAACAGUCCCAAUUUGGAAUUUCAGUAUUUGGGCCAAAAUGUUAGUCAAAACUCUAAAUUGUAACAUCUCAUUCCCUUCCCCGCUCCAACUGAGCCUGCUUGGGGCUGGAAGCCUGCAUGGGAAAGGGGCGAGGCUGGCUGCUCCGACUUUCCCGGCUGGCUCUGUUUCCCACUUCCCUGUUUGCAAGGUUGGAGCUCUGAGGCAGAAAACUGGCCCAACACUUGCUCCUGGUUCUAACACUGAAGCAGACAGCAGUCAGCUUGUGUACAACGUCCCAGGACUGCUGUGACAAAAGGACACAAGCUUGAUGUCUUCAAACGAUUCUCUCACGGCUCUGGAGGACAGAAGUCUGACAUCACUUUCCUUGGGCUGUGUCCACGGAACUGCGUUUCCUCCAGGGAAGGAGCCACUUUUGAUCCGGUCCAGCUGGCGUGGGAUCUGCCAUUACUUCACUUGUGGCCUCAUCACCUCCACCGUGGCCAUGUGAGGACUUGGGACGUGAAAUGCUCUCCACAGACUCACGCGCUUGAAUGCUUGGUCCCCUGCCGAUGGCAUUAUUUGGAAAGUGUGAGACCUUUGGAAGGUCAAGCCUAGCUGGAGGAAGGAAGUGGGUUGACGGGAGUGGGGGGAGGGGGGUUGGGUGGACAUUGUGUUUUCUGAACGGGCCCCUCCUCUCUGUCUUUUUGGUGUCCCCGACUGCUCCUGAGAUGUGGUUGUGCUUCUGCUGCCACCGUGGCAAACCCCUGCUGCCAUGCUUUCUUUCCUGCUGUGGUGGACUGCACUCUCUCAACUGGAUGCCAGAGUAAACCUCCUCUUCCUGAAGCCGCUUUUAUGAGGUGCUUAGUCACAGCGAUGAGUGAAGCGAUCGGUACCCUCGACUUCUGUCUAAGGACACGAGUCUUUGUCUUCAGGGCUUUUACCUUCUCAGCUUUGGAUCCCCUGGGGCCCUGGGGGAUGAACCUGGCAUCUUUGAGGAACUCUGCCAGCCUACCACAACCCAAUUUAGACUCCCUGAAGGCCUAGCUGGCAAAGGCCUUCUCCUCUCUGCUCUCAGCAAAGGGCAUCCCAAGGUAAGCUCUGUCACAGUCUUGAGGAGUAGAGUCAGUCCCCACUUCCUUUCAGGGGGCACGGAUUUCUCCACAGAUUUAUUGUUCAGUAGAUUCUCUCCUCAACUCUGAUCCCCCAGCAGCCAACACCUUCCAUGCUACGAGGGAGGGGGAAGAUGUAUAGAGGCUUGAGGUUCUAGAUCCUUUCCUAUUGUGCUGCAAGCAUCGUGGCCUCCAAUCUGUCACAUUUCCUGUGGGGAUAUUAGCGGCAGAUGACAGACAAGCUUGUAACCUUUACGGCUGUGCACACUGUGGCCAACCCCAGGGAAUCCAGAGAGGGACCACUGAGGGCUCUGAUCAGCCACACCUUCCCCAACAAGCCCUUCCUUUAAGUUUGCAGGCCUGCAGUUUUGGGUUCCUGGAGCUACAUGUCUGUUGCUCUCUCACCAAUCUCGUGGAUGACCUCAUUCUGUUUUUCUUUGCCAGUCGUUUGAGGAUGCAGACGGUGCCCUGUGAUCACGGGAUGCUAGUGGCGAGCGAGGCAGGCAUCCUUCUUGGGACUUGCGGUUCAUGAGGUGUGUUGAACCAGAACCCUACUGCUCCGUGAGUUAGCAGACAGCCGUUUGAUAAGGAGGUCGUGCGUGGAUGAGCGUGCCACAGAGACGGACAAGCUGGCCUGAGAACAAAAUGCACUUAUCUUUCAGACUUCAGUCCAGCUUUUUUUGUGGGGGGAGUGCGGAUGGGUAGAGGGAGGAACAGAUUUAUUUGGAAGACCCUAAAAUGCGCAGAUAAUAAAUCCUUUUAUCUCCUCUUCCA